GCUAAGUGCCAUAAAACACAUAUUACAACUAGACCAACAAAGAGAAGAAAAGCGUGGUCCCCGGGCAAUGAUGACAUACAAAUUAAUGAAGUGUUCAAUGUAUUU